rnacentral:lncRNA from 1 species
UUGUCCACAUCGAGACUGCGGAAUGCAGCGAUGGCUACAAGAUUGCCAGAUUGCUCACAGAGCUCGGAAACGAAGCAGCAACAGAGCAGACGACAUGGCUCUCGUUCCGUCUGGAGUGGACGCCAGGAUGAGAGCGAGCCCAUGCCGUGGCGUGCAGUGCCAGUGCGCGCGGGCACGGCGCCAUACCGAGAGCCGGAGGCACGUAGCGGCGGCCCGUAUGGAUACGCGGCGUCAAUGAGAAAUGAAUCCUCGGUGCUUUUGCUUUUGCUUUGCUGGGGGGCAUCGGCCACAAAGAUGUGGUUUGGACGGCAGAUGCUGCGGUGAGGAUCGGGGUCGGGGGAGAUCUGAAUCCAAAUCUUGUCGCCUGUCGGUGGCGCAUCAGCAUCAGAUUCAGAUCCCGUCCCCGUAUCCCCCCCUAAGCUUCGGCGUGGCUCCUGGCUGGCUGCUCAUCUCCCCUCCGCGCA